CCCCCUUUCAUUCUACUGCAGCUCCAACCGGAGCAAGGAGAGGGCGUCUGUUCCACAAAGGUUUGCAAAAUAAAAUUAAGAAGAAGAAGAAGAAGAAGAAGAGGAAUAGCCCAAUCUCCUCCUCCUGUUUUGCACUUGGAGCGAUGUGCCCUGGGACACAUGGAACGAUGUGCAAAUCGCUCAUGGAAAAAGAGGGGAUGGAUGAAGUCAGGCUGUGAAGGACCGCAUCCAGCAGCAACCCUUGGCAAUGGAGAGAGAUUGCAGUGCAAGCACUUUUCUGGAUUACUCUGUCACCGAUGUCAAAUCAAAGCAUCAAGGAUAUAAAUCUUCAGUAAACAUCUGGCCUCACUUCAGCCAGGUUAUGCAAUGCCUCAAGUACAUUCAGCAGCAGAUUAUGCUGCGUUCUCCAUUUGUGCAAUGCAAGCUAAUGUGAAUAUCAAGUCACAUCAGUGGUCUAGACAAGUAGUUGGGAGAUAAAGACAGCAACCCAAAGCGGGAAGUUUGGCCUCUCAGGGCACGUCAAGGGAAAACUGACAUGUCACUGAAGACCCAGAAAGAAAGAAUGCCAGAGAAGAGGUAAAUCAUAGAAAAGCCUAAGCAUCACCUCUGCUCAGAUGUGAAAGCCAUCGAGGUCUGCAACAUCUCGAGAAACAUCCUGCGGCUCUUACACCAUGGGAAGAUGUCCUUUUGAAGUGCAAGUGAAUCCCUGUGUAUGUAUUAACAUCACAGGAUGGAGCAGAAAAGUAUAACAGGGAGCUGAGGUCCUGAUGGAUUUCAGCAGUGUGUCUGCAGCCCAGGGCUCCCUCCUCUUGUCUGUUCUGGAGCGCGGUGUCUCUCUCCUUCACCCCCCUUGUGCAGACGCACAUCAGUGGCUGAUACAACAACCGUGUUGAAGAACAGCAACUUCCAUUCUCUUGGUUGGUUGGGAGGUAAGCAGAGUGCUAGUUCUAUGAAUUAAGAUAACACACCUGCACCAGCGCUUUGAAUUCAGGGGCAUCAUUUCAUUAAAAAUGACAAAACAGAAUAAAUCAAUAACUAAUUAAAAAUGGCUUUAAUUCAGUCUAGGCUUAUGAUCUAAUAUCUCACACAGUUGUCUAAUACAAUUAUAAACAUAAUUUCAUGCCUAAUGAAAUAUAAAUGAAGCAAAAAAGAACAGCAGACUCCAAAGAAACUUCUCCAUCGGUUGCCUUUGUGGCCCCUCCACCCUACCUGCAUCUCUGUCCCAUCCGUUAGGAAGCGAACAGCCAUCAUGAUACAGUCUUAUCACUCAUACAAAGCCUUAUUAUUUCUCUGGUCUUCCCCCGCAAAGCGCUGAAGAGGAACUCGAGCAGCCUCAGAGAUGACACACGUUGGGCUUCCAUCUCCGCAGCCAUGCAGCUGUGUCACCACCGUUGCUGUGCAGCCAGCAGGGACAGGACACGGUGUGGCUGACAGCCCUGGGGAUGAGGACAUCCAGUUCUGAGGGACUUGCGGUCUGCUGAUUAAUUAAAUGGACCUCAGAACGCUGCCUCUGCUUGCCACCCUUCGUAUGUCUGAACUGGAGCCCAUCAGUCAGCCUCUGUUGGUGCCGCUGGAACACCAGGGCAGUGCUCGGGACAUCAGACAAACCUGUGGGAGGGGAAGACAGUUACAGUUUGAUUUUUUGGAUGCUUGAGGUGAAGAAACAGGCUCUGCCCAUGCAGUCACAGAUGGUAAGGCUGUAGGGUUUUAAAAUACACACAAAAUCAGUAUUCUGUCCUCUCUGAGGCGAGUGUGUCAGCAGCGUGUAGGAAACGUGACUGGGAACUCUAGGAUGUCACUGCAUACUUUUAAGAGCCUUCUGGUAAGAAGUUGCCAAAAGCAUAUGGUCUCUAUUAAUAAGGAUAUUUAGCAUUUUUCUUCCUAAUUUAUUCACAAGUAAUUAUUUGCUUACCUAGCUUGAAGUGGGCUGGAAUCCAGCUCUUAUCUGUUGUGGAAAGCUGUCACACUUCCCUCUGCCUUUCUCCAGCCCUCACUUGAGAGCAGCUAUGCGUCUGGCCAAGCAAAGCUGCCCUGCUCCUUCUCUCUUCUAAUAACUCAGAGUCUUGCCUGGCCAUUACAAACUUUAGUUUCUAAAAGCAGUGUGAAAAGUACUUUUCAAAGUACUGUGACAGUAAGAAAUAGAUUCAGCUGCUCCUCCCGUUGGCUGCCUGCUCCCUGCCAGGACAGCUGGCUCUUUCCAGGUCUGUGCCCACAUCACUGCAGUGCCAGAACAUCACCUAACCAACACUUCAGACUCCGUUUUGUCCCACCUCUUCUGUUGCUGCGUUCAAAUGUUAAAGAAAAUAUAAAGGAAAAAAAACACCUCCCUCAGAAGUUCUCAUCAAAGGUUUACUGGUCAGAGCCCAGGCUCUGUCUCAAAACUCUGCUGCUGUUCUUUCUAUGCGUAUCCUUCUUUCACUGCUCCCUGCAGUAAUCAGAAUCCCAAAUGCCUUCUUUCUGAUGAGGAUUAAGCCAUGACCUGCACAUGAUUGCAGGAAAUAAGCCUUUAAAAUAUGCCCAAAUGCACUGCUUGUUUGAAGUCACUGAUCCUUAAAAUAGAUGUCUGAAAAAAUGUGUAAUUUCAAAUACUUCUGCAGAUACUGUUCCAGUAUGUGUAACAAGGGGUCGCAUCGAGCCAACUUACAUCAGUUGUGCUCCAUUAUAUCACGAACUGAGCAAAUGGAUCCAAAUAUACAGUAAUACUUCAGCUGCUAAUGAAAGCCUUGUACAGUUCCUUUCUCUAGAUACCUCUAGCGAGAUGGUGAGAAAAUACCUGAUUUUUUUUUUUUUUCUUUUCUUUUUCAGGGACCUUAUGAGAUAUUGGUCAUGAAGUGCCAUCAUGGAAGAAGCUCAAGCUUCAGGAAUUCUAAGGUACUCACUGUCAUUUAUAGGUCCUGUUCCUCUCGCUGGUGAAUCCCUUUUGCUAUCAUUUGAUACAUGGAUAGUAGUAGAACAGUAUUGUUCCCUCCUCAGUCUCAAGGCAAAACAUAACUUGGUCCUACUUAAUAUUAAUUUAAUGUUAACAAAAUCGAGAUAAGUUCAGAAGUUUCACCUUGACUGAGGUUCUCAGCUCUCAUGCUUGUGUGCAUACAAACUGCUGAGAAAAACAUUUCAGGCUUUUCCACAGCGAUGAUCAAAGAAAAAUCACAAAUGCAGUGGACUUCAAAGCAAAGGGGCAGUGGCCCAGCCUUCACUCAGUCAGUGUGCACAAAAUGGAAGGGCCCAUUACCUGUAGAUGGGAGAGGAGCAGAGCUAAGCCGCAGGUAGGUUUGUAUUUGAUAUCAUCUACUGACAGUGACGGGUCACAGCCUUGCCACAGCUGAAGGCUGUUGAGGGCCACCACAGAGCCUCCCAGCAGCAGUUCAGAUGCUGCAUGCUAUUUAUUUGCAUGCAAUUGGAAUCCACCCUACUAGCGUGCAUCGCUGACAGAUAGGAGGAAAGGAUUCACUGCAAGCACUGAGCCAGCACCGACAAGCCGGGAGGUGAAAACUCAGGAGCUUCACUGAAGGCAGCUGAAGCCUCCACUGCUGCACAUUGUGGUGCCUGCAGAGUCACAGAGAAAUAAAUCUUGGUUAAAUUUUUGAUGAGCUUUCAGCUGCUGUAAAUAAUUAACUAGGGCCUCUCUUGUUUGAACACGGGUGCAACUUUUCAUGUUUCAAACGCUUCCUGCCUCAGUCCCAGGGGAUUGCUCAAGUAAUUCAGGUCAUUCUUUCUUUUAUUUAUUUGCAGCAUCACCGGUCCAAACAAAUUUUGAACUUUCAAGCUGGGAAGGGAGAAAGCAUUUUCUUUUUGAUUUUACUCCAGGUAAAUCCCCAAGGGAGCACGUGUCUCAUUUGCAGUAGUUGAAUAAUAGAGAUUGAUGGGUUAAUCAGUUCCCAUACCAUUUAUGGAGUAAUGCUGUGCGCUCAUAGAUGAAGUUUUCAUGUUUCUCAAGUCUGUGCUGUUUCAAAGAUGAGAGCACAGGACAGCUUCAUACAGACAGAUGCACUAAGGAGAGCAUCCCUGUGUGUCCCCCCCAGCUAAAGCACAUCGGGCUGAUCCUGCUUUUGACAGUGCAAGUACUGAAGUCAGUCCUGCACCACCACCAGGUAAGCAGCACAAAAAAUGAGGUCUGAAGAACAAUCGAUCUGUCCCUUCAUUAGGUGUCAAAAAGAGCUUGGAUAUUGUUUUAGGUGGAAACUCAUGCAUAGCUGAAGUGGGUGUAAACUGUAUUAAAUAUUGGAUUCAAACUCCAGAUUAGGGGUUUUGAUGUCCUAUCCCAAGACUUUAAUGUCUAAAUUGAACUACUAAAAUAGCUCCUUCCUCAGGACUCCAUCCUGUCCCGCUUAGUUCUAUACCCACACACAACAGGUCACCUACCACUACUGUGGUCUGAGGCUGAUUUGGAUUUACUGCAGUGUCAUACUUCCUGUUUCAAUGCCUAUUGAGUAUGAUUUAUUACAAUGACAGACCACACUACUGUUUGCAAUGCAGGCCUAAUUCAUUCCCACUUUUUAAUACAGUUUCUCACAUCAUCUCCAGCAUUUGAGAGAAUGUAUAUUUAUUUUAAUCACCGUGUACUGAAUAUGUAAUUUUUUUCCUAGGUAAAAUUUCCCUUUAAUAGAGGCUGGGUUAUGAGAGAGCAAUUAUUUGAGUUAUGUGCACAUUACAGAAUAAUUUAACAUCAGCUUUUGGGUCAAUCUUUUUUAAUUAUCUAUUUUAUCAACUGGUUUUGACUAGCAGUUUAAAUAAUUGUGUUUGCCUAAUAUCUGGAAAUGUAAUUGCUUUUGGACAUCCUUUAUUCCAAUCCUGGUGUUGUUACCGUCUUGCAUACGGUGCAUGUUGGCACCUGUCUGUGCAGUGACAGAUUUGUGGUGACAGCUUAUAUAACUUAUUUAUAAAAUGAUGAAUUAUUUUUGAAUUUAACUUCAAGUUCACAGACUGGAAAAGUGGAGAAACACCUGCUUGCUGCAGAGGAUCUGCUAAGGAAGUCCAAAGGGAAACUAUGCACAGAGGGGAAGAGCAGAUGCCAAGUGAAACAGAACCAUGUGGGUCAUCGUUAUGCUGUUCCAGACAGGAGGACACGGUCCAUGUCACCAUGAUCAGAUGAAUACUAAGGAUCAAUGGCCUUAAAUAUUCUACUGGAGUGGCAGUGGUAUUUGUCAGCAGAGGAGACUUCAGCUCAAGCAAAUGACACCUUACCGCAUUGAUGGCAGCCAUCCAGAAAGCAACAACC
ensembl:lncRNA